rnacentral:rRNA from 1 species
AAUUUUGGACAAUGGGCGCAAGCCUGAUCCAGCCAUUCCGCGUGCAGGAUGAAGGCCCUCGGGUUGUAAACUGCUUUUGUACGGAACGAAACGGCGCUUUCUAAUACAGAGCGCUAAUGACGGUACCGUAAGAAUAAGCACCGGCUAACUACGUGCCAGCAGCCGCGGUAAUACGUAGGGUCCAAGCGUUGUCCGGAUUUAUUGGGCGUAAAGAGCUCGUAGGCGGCUCAGUAAGUCGGAUGUGAAAACUCGGGGCUCAACCCCGAGACGCCAUCCGAUACUGCUGUGGCUUGAGUCUGGUAGGGGAACACGGAAUUCCUGGUGUAGCGGUGAAAUGCGCAGAUAUCAGGAGGAACACCGAUGGCGAAGGCAGUGUUCUGGGCCAGUACUGACGCUGAGGAGCGAAAGCGUGGGUAGCAAAC